rnacentral:pre_miRNA from 1 species
AUCAAGAUCAGAGGCUCUGCCCUCCGUGUUCACAGCGGACCUUGAUUUAAUGUCAUACAAUUAAGGCACGCGGUGAAUGCCAAGAGCGGAGCCUACGACUGCACUUG